CCUACGGGUGGCAGCAGUGGGGAAUAUUGCACAAUGGGGGAAACCCUGAUGCAGCGACGCCGCGUGAGUGAAGAAGUAAUUCGUUAUGUAAAGCUCUAUCAGCAGGGAAGAAAAUGACGGUACCUGACUAAGAAGCCCCGGCUAACUACGUGCCAGCAGCCGCGGUCAUACGUAGGGGGCAAGCGUUAUCCGGAUUUACUGGGUGUAAAGGGAGCGUAGACGGCAGAGCAAGUCUGGAGUGAAAGGUGGGGGCCCAACCCCGGGACUGCUGUGGAAACUGUUAGGCUGGAGUGCAGGAGAGGUAAGUGGAAUUCCUAGUGUAGCGGUGAAAUGCGUAGAUAUUAGGAGGAACACCAGUGGCGAAGGCGGCUUACUGGACUGUAACUGACGUUGAGGCUCGAAAGCGUGGGGAGCAAACAGGAUUAGAUACCCCAGUAGUC
rnacentral:rRNA from 1 species